UUAGUUUUGGAGUCAGUCUCUUCUUCUACUUCCUCAUCGUCCUCCUCUUCUUCUUCUUCAUCAUCUUUUACUACUUGUGGUUUUCUUUCUUCUAAGUUUUCUUCUUCAUC